GAUGAACGCUAGCGGCAGGCUUAAUACAUGCAAGUCGAGGGGCAGCAUGAGUGUAGCAAUACAUUUGAUGGCGACCGGCAAACGGGUGCGGAACACGUACAGAACCUUCCUUCGAGCGGGGAAUAGCCCAGAGAAAUUUGGAUUAAUACCCCAUAGCAUUACGGAGUGGCAUCACUUUGUAAUUAAAGAUUUAUCACUUGAAGAUGGCUGUGCGGCUGAUUAGGUAGUUGGCGGGGUAACGGCCCACCAAGCCUACGAUCAGUAACUGGUGUGAGAGCACGACCAGUCACACGGGCACUGAGACACGGGCCCGACUCCUACGGGAGGCAG
rnacentral:rRNA from 1 species